CCGGGACCGGGUAGGCUACACAUGCAGUCCGGCGGCAGCACAGAGGAGCUUGCUCCUUGGGUGGCGAGUGGCGGACGGGUGAGGAAUACAUCGGAAUCUACUCUGUCGUGGGGGAUAACGUAGGGAAACUUACGCUAAUACCGCAUACGACCUACGGGUGAAAGCAGGGGACCUUCGGGCCUUGCGCGAUUGAAUGAGCCGAUGUCGGAUUAGCUAGUUGGCGGGGUAAAGGCCCACCAAGGCGACGAUCCGUAGCUGGUCUGAGAGGAUGAUCAGCCACACUGGAACUGAGACACGGUCCAGACUCCUACGGGAGGCAGCAGUGGGGAAUAUUGGACAAUGGGCGCAAGCCUGAUCCAGCCAUACCGCGUGGGUGAAGAAGGCCUUCGGGUUGUAAAGCCCUUUUGUUGGGAAAGAAAUCCAGCUGGCUAAUACCCGGUUGGGAUGACGGUACCCAAAGAAUAAGCACCGGCUAACUUCGUGCCAGCAGCCGCGGUAAUACGAAGGGUGCAAGCGUUACUCGGAAUUACUGGGCGUAAAGCGUGCGUAGGUGGUCGUUUAAGUCCGUUGUGAAAGCCCUGGGCUCAACCUGGGAACUGCAGUGGAUACUGGGCGACUAGAGUGUGGUAGAGGGUAGCGGAAUUCCUGGUGUAGCAGUGAAAUGCGUAGAGAUCAGGAGGAACAUCCAUGGCGAAGGCAGCUACCUGGACCAACACUGACACUGAGGCACGAAAGCGUGGGGAGCAAA
rnacentral:rRNA from 2 species